GAUGAACGCUGGCGGCGUGCUUAACACAUGCAAGUCGAACGAUAAGGCCCAGCUUGCUGGGUGGGCUAGUGGCGAGCGGGUGAGUAAAACAUGAGUAAACCGCCCUUAACUCUGGGAUAAGCCUGCGGAACUGGGUCUAUUACCGGGUAGAGGCGUCCACCGUGUGGUGUGGGUUGGAGAGAUUUAGCGGUUUUGGAUGGACUCGCGGCCUAUCAGCUUGUUGGUGAGGUAAUGGCUCACCAAGGCGACGACGGGUAGCCGGCCUGAGAGGGUGACCGGCCACACUGGGACUGAGAUACGGCCCAGACUCCUACGGGAGGCAGCAGUGGGGAAUAUUGCACAAUGGGCGGAAGCCUGAUGCAGCGACGCCGCGUGAGGGAUGACGGCCUUCGGGUUGUAAACCUCUUUCAGCAGGGAAGAAGCGAAAGUGACGGUACCUGGAGAAGAAGCACCGGCUAACUACGUG
rnacentral:rRNA from 1 species